rnacentral:rRNA from 1 species
GACGAACGCUGGCGGCGUGCUUAACACAUGCAAGUCGAACGGUGAAGCGCCUUCCUUUUUGGUGGGUGUGGAUGAGUGGCGAACGGGUGAGUAACACGUGAGUAACCUGCCCCCUUCUUCUGGAUAACCGCAUGAAAGUGUGGCUAAUACGGGAUAUUCUGGGUCUGUCGCAUGAUGGGUCUGGGAAAGAUAUUGUUUCGGUGGUGGAUGGGCUCGCGGCCUAUCAGCUUGUUGGUGGGGUGAUGGCCUACCAAGGCGGUGACGGGUAGCCGGCCUGAGAGGGUGGACGGUCACACUGGGACUGAGACACGGCCCAGACUCCUACGGGAGGCAGCAGUGGGGAAUAUUGCACAAUGGGCGCAAGCCUGAUGCAGCGACGCCGCGUGAGGGAUGGAGGCCUUCGGGUUGUGAACCUCUUUCACCAGUGAAGCAGGCCUGCCUCGUUUGUGGGUGGGUUGACGGUAGCUGGAUAAGAAGCGCCGGCUAACUACGUG